rnacentral:rRNA from 1 species
CUUAACCUACGGGACGCAGCAGUGAGGAAUAUUGGUCAAUGGACGCAAGUCUGAACCAGCCAAGUAGCGUGCAGGAUGACGGCCCUCCGGGUUGUAAGCUGCUUUUAGUUGGGAAUAAAAGGGGGCUCGUGAGCCCCGUAUUGUAUGUACCAUCAGAAAAAGGACCGGCUAAUUCCGUGCCAGCAGCCGCGGUAAUACGGAAGGUCCGGGCGUUAUCCGGAUUUAUUGGGUUUAAAGGGAGCGUAGGCCGGCUUUUAAGUCAGCUGGGAAAGUCCGCGGCUCAACCGUGGAAUUGCAGUUGAAAA